CAUGGUCUACUAUUAGAACGCGCUACGUUUCCUUGUCACUUCUUCGUCACGUGUCACUCCUUACAACUGGACGGAGAACUGAUAAGGGGUUGUAGCAACAUUUCUUCAACAACCAAACA
rnacentral:precursor_RNA from 10 species